UAGAGGUCCGCCUGCCUGUGACCAUGUGUUUAACGGCCGCGGUAUUUUGACCGUGCAAAGGUAGCGCAAUCACUUGUCUUUUAAAUGGAGACCUGUAUGAAUGGCACGACGAGGGCUUAACUGUCUCCUUUUUCCAGUCAAUGAAAUUGAUCUUCCCGUGCAGAAGCGGGAAUUACACCAUAAGACGAGAAGACCCUGUGGAGCUUUAGACACUAAAGCAGACCAUGUCAAAGACCCCUAUUUAAAGGACUGAACCAGUUGGACCCCUGCCGAGAUGUCUUUGGUUGGGGCGACCUCGGGGAAACACAAAACCCCCGCGCGGAAUAGGAGUACUUUACUCCCAAAGCCAAGAGUUACCACUCUAACUAACAGAAUUUCUGACCAUCAUGAUCCGGCAAUGCCGAUCAACGGACCGAGUUACCCCAGGGAUAACAGCGCAAUCCUCUUUUAGAGCCCAUAUCGACAAGGGGGUUUACGACCUCGAUGUUGGAUCAGGACAUCCUAAUGGUGCAGCCGCUAUUAAGGGUUCGUUUGUUCAACGAUUAAAGUCCUACGUGAUCUG
rnacentral:rRNA from 1 species